UGAUAGUAACCGCUAGCAAGCUCUUUAAGUUGACUAGAAUCUUCAAUCCACACAUUGUUCCCAUUUCUCAGCUUGAGAAUUUGUUGCUUCUUGCGUUUAAUCACGGUAGAAAGAUGAUAAAACCUUGUAUUUCUCUCACCAGAAACAAUCCAUUCCUCCCUAGAUUGUUGAAACCAGUAUAAUUCUUCCUGCUUCAAAACAUCUUCAAGCUGUCGUCUCAGAUUAAAUUCCAGCUUCACUAAACCUCUCGUUCGCCG
rnacentral:lncRNA from 1 species